UAAUUUGGCAACUAAAAAACCCAUCCCCAUGUUGAUAAUUCAUAGCGUGUCGUUAAAAUUUACCCAAAAAUACGACAAAAUACACGGCGUGUAAAAAUACACGAGUAUUUCACGUUUAGCGUGAGGUGGAAAACCCGCGAAACGUCAUUUCGCAUUUCCGGGUGAAAAAAGUUAAAGUUUGCCAGGAGAGCAAGUGCUAGUGCAUCAGUGCAUCGGUCGGAAAACGACACCGGAGAAAAUCGGUAGAAAACCGUAGAAAACGGGGCAGGACCUCAGCACGCAACAAGCAGCAAAAGCUCCGGUAAGGUUCAUACCUUCACACGCGUUACGUGUUUUGCGGAAGCAGGAAGAACAGGUGAACUGAAACCUGAACCUGAACUGAAAGGUGAAUACACGCCAACCUAGAAGAGCGAACUUGAGCGAGGAAAGAAGCUCAAAGCUUCGGAAAAACAGAAAAACAAGAGGGUCGCAUAGGUAAGACGACAUUUUGCUAAAAAACCGGCAACCUUCUUGCUAACAAGCGCCUUUUUCCUCCAUAUAGGCGGCC